UCUUAUGGACAAGCAAAGAAAGUGGUUUCUUGAGAUGGAAUCUUUUAUUGAUGAAGAUGCUGUAAA
rnacentral:pre_miRNA from 3 species